AGUUUGUGGCUGGAUGCAUUAUUGCUAAGUUGCCCCCUUCAUGGAGGAACUUUGCCACAACUCUCAAACACAAGAGACAGGAGAUAUCAGUUGAAAACCUGAUAGCGUCUCUUGAUGUUGAGGAGAAAGCUCGGGUUAAGGAUACUACUGAGAAAGGAGAGGGUCAGUCUAGCGCCAACAUGGUGCAGAAGAAACCCUACAGCAAGAACAAAGGGAAUAACAAGCCCUCCUUCAAUAAACCUAUGAAGACUACAACCUUCAAGAAGAAGAAGAUGAUAAACAAAGCAGAUCUGAUCUGCUUUACCUGUGGAGAGACUGGCCACUUUUCUAAGGACUGUCCAGAGAGGGCAGACCGCAUGAAAAAGGCGAGGCAAGUCAACACGGUGACCGCUAGCAAUGCUGAUGGGUCGUCCGGGAUUCUUCCGUCUUGAUGGGGAAUGGGUCACAUGCUUCUGUUCGUGGUGUUGGCACGGUAGAUCUGAAGUUCACUUCGGGGAAGAUCGUGCAGCUGAGGAACGUGCAGCAUGUCCCUACUAUGAACAAGAAUCUCGUUAGCGGCUCCCUUCUAUGUAGAGAUGGGUUUAAGGUUGUUUUAGAGUCGAAUAAAGUAGUUGUUUCCAAGUUUGGACAAUUUAUUGGUAAAGGCUAUGAGUGCGGAGGCUUGUUCCGCUUUUCGCUUUCUGAUUUCAGUAAUAAGUCUGUGAACCA